rnacentral:rRNA from 1 species
AGGACGAACGCUGGCGGCGUGCUUCAUACAUGCAAGUCGAACGAGAAUCUGGCUUCGGUCAGAGGAAAGUGGCGGACGGGUGAGUAAUGUGUAGAGAAUCUGCCCUUUAGUGGGGGACAACAGUUGGAAACGACUGCUAAUACCCCAUAUGCGCGUAGCUGAGAUGCUAUUCGUGAAAACUCCGGUGCUAAAGGAUGAGUCUGCAUCUGAUUAGCUAGUUGGCGGUGUAAUGGACCACCAAGGCGACGAUCAGUAGCUGGUUUGAGAGGAUGAUCAGCCACAAUGGGACUGAGACACGGCCCAUACUCCUACGGGAGGCAGCAGUAGGGAAUUUUGCGCAAUGGGGGAAACCCUGACGCAAGCAACGCCGCGUGAUUGAAUAAGCCCUUCGGGGUGUAAAGAUCUGUCAGUAGGGACGAAACUUGACGGUACCUACAGAGGAAGCAUCGGCUAACUCCGUGCCAGCCGCAGC